GUAAAGUUGGUAAGUUUGGGGGAUGGGUUUAUGAAGUUGAAUAGUUUCACUUUAACCUCUCGAGACACGGUUGUUUUUCACCACAGAAAGACUGACCAGUAAACAGUAUGUCUGGGAAGACUAACUCCUCACCAGACAGCUCUGGAUCUUGUGACAAGAAGUCGAGGUUUCCAAACCUUGAUUUCAAAAGAUCAAGGUUCUCUUCUCUCUUAGAACCAGGUCACCAAGAACCAAAGGUAAGCU